rnacentral:rRNA from 1 species
AUGGGCCUCAAGAUUAGCCAGGGAUUAGUGUCUUAUAUAGGCCUAAGCCCAUUCAUAAUCCAACAGUUAGCCCAGAGCCGCGUGAGCGCUGGUUUCGUCUACUGGCGCCUAAGGCGCCAGCGAGGAGGUCUCGUUGUCUUGGUACAACCAGAAAAGGUUGGAUAUACCAUUGUUUUGCACGACUUCGGCCCAUUGAGUCAGGUCAUUCAAGUGACCCAUAAGCAGAGUGAGAUCCUGAAGAAGUUCGAGUCAGGCGGGCCGAUACGCUAUGCCCUCGUCAACUGGGAUGCCGGCACGCAGGAUUCGUCGCCGGCGCCUACGGUGGCUGACUUGUUGGGGCGUGGCUUGAGCAAGUGGAGCCCCGGCGUCCUCAAGCCGGAUCUGCUGGCUCCGAGGCUCAACAUCCUCGCCCAGAGGCAGGGUGCAUCCGACGUGGAGUCCGGCCAUCAUGAGGUCAGCGCUGAUGACGACAGCCUCCACCCGAGACAACAGCGGGGGGCACAUCCUGCUGCCCUCUACGCGACAGGCGUUGGCCACGUCGACUUGGCCAGGGCCAUGGACCCUGGCCUGGCCUACGGCAUCGACAAAGCACAGUACAUAGGCUACUUGUGCUCCAACUUGGGCGAGAUGGCGAUGCGGCCCGUUAGCCGCAACAGCUCCGGUCUGUGCUCCGAUCAUGAAGGUGUGCCCCAAGAACAACUCAACUAUCCAAGCAUCGUCGUGACCUUGUUCCAGCAGCAGCAGCUCGUGGUCAGGACACUGACCAACCUGCAAACCGGAGGUGUACAAGGUGGCGGUGGCCAUGCCCAGUUUGGUGUUGGUCGACGUGGAACCCGCCGAGCUCACUUUCACGUCGCUGAGACAGAAGCAGUCCUACUCCAUCUGAGUCGCCCCGAUACCCAAGGUCACGUUCAUCAAGGGAGCCCAAUCACUUGGUCGUCAAGCCGCCACGUCGUCCGAAGCCGUCGGCCUAUAAGUUGGACGACUCAAGUGAAGCAAAGGAAGGGGCAGUCGUGCGUUUGUUUCCUGUUGAUCUGUCUGCUGCAGCACGCAUCUAAUGAGAAAUCAAAUGGCUGCUCCUCUGAAUUCUAUCCCGCCUUCCAGAGCCGGUCCAAACUGUAA